rnacentral:rRNA from 1 species
CCCUUAGAUGUUCUGGGCCGCACGCGCGCUACACUGUUCGACGCAGCGAGUCUUAACCUUGACCGAAAGGUUUGGGUAAUCUUCAGCAAAGUCGAACGUGAUGGGGAUCGAUCAUUGCAAUUAUUGAUCGUGAACGAGGAAUUCCUAGUAAGUGCAAGUCAUCAGCUUGCGCUGAUUACGUCCCUGCCCUUUGUACACACCGCCCGUCGCUACUACCGAUUGAAUGGUUUAGUGAGAUCUCUGGAUUGACGCUGGCUAGGGGGCGACCCUUGGCCAGACUAUUGAGAAACUGCUCAAACUUGAUCAUUUAGAGGAAGUAAAAGUCGUAACA